rnacentral:rRNA from 1 species
UUAUCCUACGGGGGGCCGCAGUGGGGAAUCUUGCACAAUGGGCGAAAGCCUGAUGCAGCGACGCCGCGUGGGCGAAGAAGGCCUUUGGGCCGUAAAGCCCUGUCGGGAGGGAAGAAGGAAGCGACGGUACCUCCCAAGGAAGCCCCGGCUAACUACGUGCCAGCAGCCGCGGUAACACGUAGGGGGCGAGCGUUGUCCGGAUUUACUGGGUGUAAAGGGCGUGCAGCCGGGCUGACAAGUCAGAUGUGAAAUCCCGCGGCUCAACCGCGGAACUGCAUUUGAAACUGUCAGUCUUGAGUACCGGG